GGUGCGCAUCUUAUUUCUUUUACAGACCUAGUAAUAGGUAUACUUUAGGAGGGGCUUGCGCCAUAUUAGUUAGUUGGUAGGGUAAUGGCCUACCAAGACGAUGAUGUGUAGCUGGACUGAGAGGCUGAACAGCCACAUUGGGACUGAGACACGGCCCAAACUCCUACGGGAGGCAGCAGUAAGGAAUUUUCGGCAAUGGAGGAAACUCUGACCGAGCAACGCCGCGUGAACGACGAAGUACUUUGGUAUGUAAAGUUCUUUUAUCAAGGAAGAAAAGCAAGUGGCGAACCAUUUGUUUGCCGGUACUUGAUGAAUAAGCCCCGGCUAAUUAUGUGCCAGCAGCCGCGGUAAGACAUAAGGGGCAAGUGUUAUCCGGAAUUAUUGGGCGUAAAGGGUGCGUAGGCGGUCUAGUAAGUCAGUGGUGUAAUGGCAACGCUCAACGUUGUCCGGCUAUUGAAACUGCUAAACUUGAGUUAGAUAGAGGCGAGUGGAAUUCCAUGUGUAGCGGUAAAAUGCGUAAAUAUAUGGAGGAACACCAGAGGCGUAGGCGGCUCGCUGGGUCUUAACUGACGCUGAGGCACGAAAGCGUGGGGAGCAAACAGGAUUAGAUACCCUGGUAGUCCACGCCGUAAACGAUGAGUACUAAGUGUCGGGUUAAACCGGUACUGAAGUUAACACAUUAAGUACUCCGCCUGAGUAGUACGUACGCAAGUAUGAAACUUAAAGGAAUUGACGGGACUCCGCACAAGCGGUGGAUCAUGUUGUUUAAUUCGAAGAUACCCGAAAAACCUUACCAGGUCUUGACAUGUUUUUGCGAAACGGUAGUAAUAUCGUAGAGGUUAUCAGAAACACAGGUGGUGCAUGGUCGUCGUCAGCUCGUGUCGUGAGAUGUUAGGUUAAGUCCUAAAACGAGCGAAACCCUUAUCGUUAGUUGCCAGCACGUUAUGGUGGGGACUUUAACGAGACUGCCAGUGAUAAACUGGAGGAAGGUGAGGAUCACGUCAAAUCAGCAUGCCCCUUAUGACCUGGGCUACAAACGUGAUACAAUGGCUGUUACAAAGGGUAGCUGAAACGUAAGUUCUUGGCCAAUCCCCAAAAACAGUCUCAGUCCGGAUUGAAGUCUGCAACUCGACUUCAUGAAGUUGGAAUCGCUAGUAAUCGCGAAUCAGCAGUCGCGUAGCACA
rnacentral:rRNA from 1 species